CCGACAUUACAAACCCUAGGUUUCUCUUCAGCCUCCCCAAUCGCCUCCAUCUCUAUUCUCGUUCUCAACUUUGAAGUUGCCCUCUCUCUGUCCCUGUAACUGCAAACUACAAAAUCUACAAGAAUCUGUCUGCACAUUUCAGCCUCCCCUAUCGCCUCCAUCUCUAUUCUUGUUCUCAACUCUGAACUUGCCCUCUCUCUCUCUCCAACUGCAAGCCACAAAUCUACAAGAAUCAGAAGUUCAAAACCCAUAUAUUUCAGUUUAUCUAUCUGUAUGCAAGAAUCAAAAGUUCAAAACCCAUAUCGGCAUAUCAUUUCAAGAUUGUUCAAAAAAUCAAAACCCAUAUCUUUCCUUUUCCAUCGCCCGCUGUUCCAGAUCGGGUUCGCCGUUUGCAAGCUUCAGCCGCUGGCCCGCUGUCUCUCAACUCUCAAGCCCCCCCUGCUAACUUGAUAUUCCGGGAUGUUCCUAGCGAUAUUACAAUAGAGGUGAAUGGUGGAUCAUUUGCAUUGCAUAAGAUUGUUGGACGAGCUCAUGCUAUAAGAAUUCAAGCUCUUUUUGUUUAUAUUUAGAUCUUUGAAUUCUUUGUUUCGGAUUCUAUACCACAUUUUGUCUAAGAUCUCAGAUGAGAAUGCUAGCUUUUUUUUGUGCGAUGGGCUUUAUUGUAUAUGUUGUAAACAAUACUUUUUGGUUGGUGUGGUAUAUAAUAUCAAGUAUUUCUUUAUUUGCAUAAUCAUUUUGAUGUGUGAUUAAAUUUUAUUUUUGAUAUUGUUUAUAAAGUUAAUAAUUUAUAGGUUAUAAAAUUAUAAUU